rnacentral:lncRNA from 1 species
ACACCUGUAGGUUAUUCCCAGUGAGAAUCGUGGCUAUCAUGAACCCCUCAGCAUGCAGCUGGCAGCCAUUUGCAUGUAAAUACACCAGCAGCCAAAAAGUAUAUGAGGAAUUAGGUUGUAAGGACUUUUCCCUUCUUGCUUUUCCCCACCAGGAGCUGUGCUGGGUGCUCUGGGAUAGACUGGAGAGCUGCCUGCCCCGUCUUGUUUGGAGUGACACAGCCAGCUCUUCCUGUGAAUUUACAACACAGAAGAUAACGUAAUGCUGUAGAGGGACAGAACCGUGCAAGUACUUGUUGGCCGGGCAGGACACACAAGCUAUUUCCAAAGGGUUGUGUAGCACAGGCCCUUCUGCAAUGGGGACCUCAUCUGGGUCUUCAUCUCUACUUCCAGGGUUCUUCCAAACACUGGAUGCUUCUUGUUGCCGAAAUUUCUACCAGUCCUUUAGAUAUGACCAAAUCAGGUCAACAGUUAUGAAAUUCAAUGUGAAGGUUGGGUGGCUGAAGGGUCAUCAGAGUGUCAGUCCAAAAAGUCAUCUGUGUGGAUGGCUGAAUUGCCAAAAAUAUUUUACUUAAGUCCAGAUGUCUGGAAAUCAGAAGAUCUUGGAUAGCUUCCUCUUCUGGUCUCAAAUGAUUUUGCUCAUUCAUGCUUCACUGGCAGUUCUAGAUCCUCUAGGGUGAGGAUGAGAGCACACAAAGCUCUUCUGAAGGAUUUCCCCACAAACUGGAAGCACCAGAGUUUUGCAAGAGCUUCUUCUGUAGUGUGGAACUAUGACUAAAGAGACCUUGGUGGUUCUUGCUCCAUUACAGCUGACAAUGCCCUGUGUGAACUUAGAUAUGUGAAUGCCCCCACCUCUGUUCCCCAACGAGAAACAGACCCACAUUUGACCUCUGAAACCCAAUGCUCCAAUGUUUCUCCAGAAUUUUCCCCUCUGAUCUGUGCAGUCACCACAAAUUGGCCCCAUUUUGGACUUUCCUCCUGCGGAGAGUGGCUAUUAGAUUCAACAGGCUCAUGUGCUAACAAGGUUUUUCCAGGAUUUUGAGAUUUUCUUAGGAACAUCUGCUCUGAUCAUAAGGCCAAAAAUGAGGUAGUGCAGAAAGUGGUGCGUAAGAAUGUUAAUUAUUUCCCAAACAGUAAUACUGGUAGUUUCUAUUGUAUUCCUUCAAAAAAAAAAAAAAACACAACAGCACUUGUUGACCUUCAAACACUGUAAACAAGGAAGCUGAAGUCUCAAACAACCCUGUUUCUAAAAGCUUCUUGUAA